rnacentral:rRNA from 1 species
GGUUAAGCGACUAAGCGUACACGGUGGAUGCCCUGGCAGUCAGAGGCGAUGAAGGACGUGCUAAUCUGCGAAAAGCGUCGGUAAGGUGAUAUGAACCGUUACAGCCGGCGAUGUCCGAAUGGGGAAACCCAGUGCAAUUCGUUGCACUAUCGUUAACUGAAUACAUAGGUUAACGAGGCGAACCGGGGGAACUGAAACAUCUAAGUACCCCGAGGAAAAGAAAUCAACCGAGAUUCCCCCAGUAGCGGCGAGCGAACGGGGAGCAGCCCAGAGUCUGAAUCAGCUUGUGUGUUAGUGGAACGGUCUGGAAAGUCCGACGGUACAGGGUGAUAGUCCCGUACACCAAAAUGCACAGGCUGUGAACUCGAAGAGUAGGGCGGGACACGUGGUAUCCUGUCUGAAUAUGGGGGGACCAUCCUCCAAGGCUAAAUACUCCUGACUGACCGAUAGUGAACCAGUACCGUGAGGGAAAGGCGAAAAGAACCCCGGCGAGGGGAGUGAAAAAGAACCUGAAACCGUGUACGUACAAGCAGUGGGAGCACCUUCGGGUGUGACUGCGUACCUUUUGUAUAAUGGGUCAGCGACUUAUAUUCUGUAGCAAGGUUAACCGUAUAGGGGAGCCGCAGGGAAACCGAGUCUUAACUGGGCGUUAAGUUGCAGGGUAUAGACCCGAAACCCGGUGAUCUAGCCAUGGGCAGGUUGAAGGUUGGGUAACACUAACUGGAGGACCGAACCGACUAAUGUUGAAAAAUUAGCGGAUGACUUGUGGCUGGGGGUGAAAGGCCAAUCAAACCGGGAGAUAGCUGGUUCUCCCCGAAAGCUAUUUAGGUAGCGCCUCGUGAAUUCAUCUUCGGGGGUAGAGCACUGUUUCGGCUAGGGGGUCAUCCCGACUUACCAACCCGAUGCAAACUACGAAUACCGAAGAAUGUUAUCACGGGAGACACACGGCGGGUGCUAACGUCCGUCGUGAAGAGGGAAACAACCCAGACCGCCAGCUAAGGUCCCAAAGUCAUGGUUAAGUGGGAAACGAUGUGGGAAGGCACAGACAGCCAGGAUGUUGGCUUAGAAGCAGCCAUCAUUUAAAGAAAGCGUAAUAGCUCACUGGUCGAGUCGGCCUGCGCGGAAGAUGUAACGGGGCUAAACCAUGCACCGAAGCUGCGGCAGCGAC